rnacentral:misc_RNA from 1 species
AACGCAUCUUGCACUCAUUGGUAUUCCAAUGAGUACGCCUGUUUCAGUAUCAAAAACACCCCACACCCAAAACUUGCUUUUGAGUGGAACUGGGGCAACAGUCUUUACGGCUGUUCCCCUUAAAAAUAUUAGGCCUGAACUUGUUUUGUCUGCCUGAACUUUUUUUAAUAUAAAGGAAAGCUCUUGCCAACUAAAACUUUAUUGGGGCCUCCCAAAUAAAUCUAUCUUAAAUUUGAUCUGAAAUCAGGUGGGAUUACCCGCUGAACUUAA